rnacentral:rRNA from 1 species
AUGGGAAAAAGUCCGAAACAAAAGUUGCUAAGAGCCCUAGGGAAAUUGCCUGUCUGCUCAACUGUACUUGCCCAACCUGAGGCCACAAGUGUUCCAGAAGCAUUAGAAGCAACUGGCCAGGGGAACACUUUCCAUUUCUCUCAUGUGGAGGAGAGGUACCAUGAAUUCAUGUGUGUUAGUGGGAAGACAACCAAUGCACUAGAAAUCAAUGUUCUAGAUGUGAGUGAGAUGUUUGCAAGCGUAAGGGUAAUUGAAUAUGGCAAAUACUUUGUCACGGUCAGGGAGCUCGCAAACUCAAUGAAGAAGGAAGUUUUUUUCUUGAGCCAUGUAAUGGAAGUUGGUAUACAGAAUAUAAUGAUGAACUUGCCACCAGACUCAAAGAAGCUCGUGAUGCCCAUCAGGUUCUCGGUUCAGAUGCUAAAAAUGGAAUUGAACGGCAAGGAGCUCAUUUCCCGGUUCAAGAAGUCGAAUCGCUUGGACCGUAAAGACAUGAUUAUGUUCCCAGUGUUAGAGAACAUCGACAAGACAAAACCUAAAACAGGCAAUCAUUACUGGAUUUUUUAA